rnacentral:rRNA from 1 species
CUUGGUUGAUCCUGCUAGUAGUCAUAUGCUUGUCUCAAAGAUUAAGCCAUACAUGUGUAAGUAUAAACUAAUUCAUGUUGUGAAACUGUAAAUGGCUUAUUAAAGUAGGUAUAGUUUCUUUGAUGGUAUCUACUACUCAGAUAAUAACGGUAAUUCUAGAGCUAAUAUGUGUAACAAACCAUAACUUUUAAAAGGGAUGCAUUUAUUAGAUAAAAGGUCAACAUAGGCUUUGCCUGUUGCUUUAAUGAUUCAUGAUAACUCGACAGAUUGCACAGCCUUUGUGCCAGUGAUGCAUCAUUCAAAUUUCUGCCCUAUUAACUUUUAAUGGUAGGAUAGUAGCCUAUUAUGGUGGUGACGAGUGACAGAGAAUUAGGGUUUGAUUUUGAAGAGGGAGCUUGAGAAAUGGCUACCACAUCCUAGGAAGGUAGUAGGUGCACAAAUUACCGAAUCCUGACACAGGGAGGUAAUGACAACAAUUAACAAUAUCGGGCUGUAUGAGUCUAGUAAUUGGAAUGAGUGCAAUCUAAAUCCCUUAACAAGGAUCCAUUGGAAGGCAAGUUUGGUGCUAAUAGCUAUGGUAAUUCUAGCUCCAAUAGCUUAUAUUUAAGUUAUUGUAGUUAAAAAGCUCAAAGUUAGAAUUGGUUUACCUCACGGUGAGCAUCAGUCUACUUGUUCCUACUACCAAUGAUGCAUUUCUGGCCUUAACUGGUUGAGUUAUUCCUCUAAUGCUUUUAUUUUGAAGAAAUUAGAAUGCGCAAAGUAGGCCUGUGCUUGUAUACAUUAGCAUGGGAUAACAUCAUAGGAUUUCGAUCCUAUUGUGUUGGCCUUUGGGAUCAGAGUAAUGAUUAAUAGGGAUAGUCAGGGGCAUUCAUAUUUCAUAAUCUGAGGUGAAAUUCUUGGAUUUAUGAAAGAUGAACAAUUGUGAAAGCAUUUGCCAAUGAUGUUUUCAUUAAUAAAGAAUGAAAGUUAGGGGCUCAAAGGUGAUCAAAUACUAUCCUAAUCUCAACCAUGAACGAUGUCGAUCAGGGAUCAAUGGAUGUUUUUCUUAGGACUUCACUGUCACUUUAUGAGAAAUCAAAGUUUUUAGGUUCCAUAAGGAGUAUGGUCGUAAGGCUAAAACUUAAAGGAAUUGAGAGAAGGGCACUACUCAAAAUAGGGAAACUUAUAGGUCUGGACAUAGUAAAGAUUGACAGACUAAGAGCUCUUUCUUGAUUCUAUGGGUGGUGGUGCAUGGUUGUUCUUAGUUGGUGGAGUGAUUUGUCUAGUGACUUCCAUUAACGAAUGAGACCUCAACCUACUAACUAGAUAUGGAGAGGUAAUCCUUCAUGGCUAGCUUUUUAGAAGGACUAUGGCUACUUAGACCAAAGAAGUUUGAGGUAAAAAUAGGUUUGUGAUGCCUUCACAUUUUUUGGGCCACACACACUACACUAUGUAUUCAAUAAGUUUAUAGCCUUAGCUGACAAGCUCGGCUAAUCUUUGAAAUUUCAUCAUGAUAUGGAUAGAUCAUUGCAAUUAUUGAUCUUCAAUGAUGAAUUCCUAGUAAGCGUGAGUCAUCAGCUUGCAUUAACUGCAUUCCUUCCUAUAGUAUACACUGCCCAUUGCUACUGCCGAUAAAUGACCUAGUGAAGUGUUUGGAUCAUGGUGACGUGGAUGGUUUGCUGCCUAUGACAUCAUAAGAAGUCCACUAAACCUUAUCAUGUAAAGGUUGGAAAAGUCAUAACAAGGUUUCCAUAGGUGAACCUAUGGCAG